rnacentral:rRNA from 1 species
UACAGAGGUCCCAAGCGUUGUUCGGAUUCACUGGGCGUAAAGGGUGCGUAGGCGGUCGGGUAAGUCUGAUGUGAAAUCUCACAGCUUAACUGUGAAACUGCAUUGGAUACUAUCCGGCUCGAGGAAUGGAGGGGAGACUGGAAUACUUGGUGUAGCAGUGAAAUGCGUAGAUAUCAAGUGGAACACCAGUGGCGAAGGCGAGUCGCUGGACAGUUCCUGACGCUGAGGCACGAAAGCCAGGGGAGCAAACGGG